rnacentral:rRNA from 1 species
UGGGGAAUUUUGGACAAUGGGCGCAAGCCUGAUCCAGCCAUGCCGCGUGAGAGAUGAAGGCCCUAGGGUUGUAAAGCUCUUUCACCGGGGAAGAUAAUGACGGUAACCGGAGAAGAAGCCCCGGCUAACUUCGUGCCAGCAGCCGCGGUAAUACGAAGGGGGCUAGCGUUGUUCGGAUUUACUGGGCGUAAAGCGCACGUAGGCGGACUAUUAAGUCAGGGGUGAAAUCCCGGGGCUCAACCCCGGAACUGCCUUUGAUACUGGUAGUCUUGAGUUCGAGAGAGGUGAGUGGAAUUCCGCGUGUAGAAGUGAAAUUCGUAGAUAUUCGGAGGAACACCAGUGGCGAAGGCGGCUCACUGGCUCGAUACUGACGCUGAGGUGCGAAAGCGUGGGGAGCAAACAGG